UAAAGACACCCUGUGCCAGUGUGUGUGGCGGGCAGGCGGGUCACGCGGCCACUUCCCCUGAAUGGCUCCAAUGUGCUCCUCUCCAGGAUCCCUGUCCCCAGGGGAAGAGGGAGGCCGGGCCUGAAUGGCCCAGUGUCCUCCACUCAGGGAGGAGAAGCCUCCCAGCAUUCACCGGGGAACUCCCCGCCGGUGAGAAAGCAGCUCUCAGGGAAGGUGGGGGAGGGUGGCAAGGAGCAGGUGCAUCGCAUCGCAGCCAUCUACCCCGGAGAUCGGCUGGCCGUUGCGAAGGUCUGCUAACUACGGAGACAGCCAGAGAGCCCGAGCGGUGGAGACAGCCAGAGAGCCCGAGCGGUGGCGACAGCCCUCACCGCGGCCCGGGUUGGGAUCCUGAUGUGGCUUCUCCCAGGCCAGGCCAGGAAGCCCAGAGUUUCUGCUCCACUUCUGGCCUCUGAGGAUAGAGGGACACGGAGGACAUCCGGGGAGGGAAGAUCCUUACAGAGUGAUAGACACACACCGCUCAGGCCGUGCUGGAGAGAGAGGCUGAGUGAGAGACUGUGGACAUAGCUCCAAUAAGAGAGCACUCAGAAAAGUUAGGAUGAGGCACAAAACUCAAAUCAGAAAUUCCAUUCGACGCAGCGAGGAAACAAGGAGAUAGAUCUUCUGUAAAUGAGAAGAGGAUCCAGAGAAGGAGGGAGAGGAAAGUAAAGAGAGUUAAGAUGUAUUAUGUACCUGUACCGCCUCACAAUGGAUGUGAUCGCUAUCUGGAUUGAUGGAUGUGACCACAAACAUACUAAUAAAAACAAAAAUCAAUAAAAUACACAAAGGGAAGUCAAGAGAAGAUAUUCCUAUAUUUUCAAUGAGAAUUCAGUGGCAAAU
rnacentral:lncRNA from 1 species